CGAAAUAUUUUUUCAUUGCGCCGCCGCAACUAUCCGACUGACAAGCUUCACGAUUCAUUUCGGUCUCAGAAGUUGUGAGAAGACGGAAAGCAAACAAAAAAAUAAUAAUGGCGAAAGCGAAGCCACAGAAAUCUAAGCUUAAGAAACAACCGCAUCAGGUGAAGAAGAAGCAAGGAAAGGAUUGUGAUCUCUCUCAAUUUCGUACUCAGCUUGACGCCUUGGGGCUUAAGAUAAUCCAAGUGACUUCAGAUGGUAAUUGUUUCUUCAGGGCACUUGCUGAUCAAUUGCAAGGCAAUGAGGAUGAACACAGCAAGUACCGUAGCAUGGUUGUACAGUAUAUAGUGAAAAACCGUGAAAUGUUUGAGCCUUUUAUCGAAGAUGAUGUUCCAUUUGAGGAUUACAUUAAAACCAUGGACGAUGAUGGAACUUGGGCUGGGAAUAUGGAGUUACAGGCAGCUUCUCUUGUCACACGCUGUAAUAUAUGUAUCCACAGGAACAUGUCACCGCGUUGGUAUAUACGCAACUUUGAAGAUGCUAGAACCCGCAUGAUCCAUCUGUCUUACCACGAUGGGGAACACUAUAACAGUGUGCGUUUGAAGGAAGAUGCUUGUGGAGGACCAGCCACGCCUGUUGUAAUAGAGGCUGAUGCUAAAGUGUCAGCAGCAUCUAAACAAGCGAAAGCUAUUGAGAGCAACUCCAAAAGCAGAGCGGAUAAGUGUAAGGUGGAUGCUGCUAUCAAUGUAGUCAUGUCGGGUAGUUGCUAUGACAAUGCUGAGAAAGCUGAACAGGUUCUAGUACAAGUAAACGGUGAUGUGGAUGCUGCGAUAGAUUUCCUGAUAGCCGAGCAAGGAAUGGAGUCUUUGACUGAAAAUGAUUCAGAAACCACUUCUGUGGCAGACAUCAAAAAUCGAGAGGAAGCAAGUGACAGUACAAUGGAAAGCACCAAGAAACCAAGAGAAGAAAUGAAUGAGGAGGAAUCAGCUAGCUGCAGUAAUAUCGAAACAGUCCUUGCAAAGUGCAGUUCACAGACCGAUGAGAAGAAGAUCCCGAGGAAUAAAUCGUGUCCAUGUGGUUCAAAGAAGAAAUACAAGUCCUGCUGCGGAACAGCAACUGGGAGAUCCUCUGUUAAACUGUUAGUGAGCCAUACGAUGGAGUCGAAGAAGGGGAGAAAGAAUUCGAGGAGAGGAACAUUGAAUGAAGUGGAAACAGAUAUGGGUGCUCUUUGUAUAUAAUGAAGUCUCACACACUUAAACUUAAUGAAAUAUAAAGGGAUGAAAAAGAUAAUCUUCUUCUUACGAUCCAUUGGAAACUUCACAUAACAGCUUGCUCAGGGAUGAGAGAAGUGGAAGGUGCGAGGACUGUGGUGGUUCCAAGGAGAAUUGUGAGGAGAGAAUCCUGAUGAUGCUGCCAUUCCCACUUGCUCUCCUCCACCGUCCGAUUGCUUUUCCGAUCCGACGGUCUUCGUUGCCUUCAUCGCUAGCGAGAGAUCGCUGCCUAAUAAUCUCUCCUCAUCUCUAAUCCUACUUCUCAUGCUCGUAAUCUUUAAAAUGAUCAAUUUAAACCAUUAUCAAAAUUUUAUCUAUAUUCCG